CCUGCAAGCAAGCAUUGUGUGGCUCCUGGCUGCCAGAGAGCAGAGUGUGGACAGCUUGGAGUGCUUUGGGUCUAAGCAGCCCCCUGUGAUUGGAAGCUCUCUGAAAAGGCCACACACGUGUUGAAGAUUCCUAAGACUGCAGAUGCUAAUUCCAGCUUGUGAAGAACUGGAGACUGAGAGCCAAGUGAUCUUCGAUGCUUAGACCUGUUAAUGGCCAGCCACUUCCUGUCCAUGUCUAUAUCUGAUCUGACAUCCUUUUUGACUAUUAGACUUUGGCUGACCCAGGGCUGGGGUGGAGGGGACCCACUGCAUGAGAAUCAGCUGCAGACUGCUUCCUA
rnacentral:lncRNA from 1 species